UUCGUCUCCGUCACCUCUACGGCACAAAACCCACACUAAAGCGAAAAGCUCAUAAAUCUCUCUCUCUCUCUCUCUCUCUCUCUCUCUCUCUCGCUCGCUCUCUCUCUACCCAUUCCCUUUUCUUUGUGCUUACUCCUACAGAGAAAUAGUUAUCUGCGUCUUCUCAGAGCCGCUCCUCUUUUCAGUUCUUACUCUCUCGGUGGAGACGACGAUUCACGCAGCGCUGAUCUGUCCUGGAAAAUCGGAACAUCACGAAGAUUUAAACAAAUGAUGAUAUGAAACAGCAUUGAAUUUCAUCGGUCUGUGAGCUUAGUACCUACUCUGUGGUUCUUCGUGCAUAAUUUACCACAGUUCUGAGCUCCUAUGGCGGAAAGGAAGCUGAAUUUUAAUGCACCUCUUCUCUCGACACGGAGGUCUCAGACGACUGCGGUUUCUGUCCGAAGAACCAAGAAGUUGUCUGAUGAAGACUUCAAGAGAAGUGAAGGCUCCUCCAAGGUUGCAGUUUGUUACCCAGACAUGGCCUUAGAUCCCAUUACUGAUCCUGCCUCUGUUCCUUUCACAUGGGAACAAGAGCCUGGAAGACUAAAAGGUGAUAGUCUCCGGCCUGAAACCCAUGAUUCUAUGCAGGAUUUUGUUCCACCUCGCAAUCCACCAGGGAAGGUAAUGGAUCUUCUGAAGUCUCCAUGGGGGAAAGAUUCUGAUGGAGAGAACGCGGUUAGAACCGCCCUUGAUGAUAACGUGACAAGAUUACAAAUCUUGAAGGGUAAACAGGUUCAAGAAUCAGAUGAUGAUGAUGACGAUGAUGCCUUUUCUGAUGCCCUUGAUACACUUUCUCCGAAAGAAUCGUGUUCUGCAGGUGUGAACCAUAGUAUAAGUGGCGUGAGUGGAUAUGGCAUUGAGAUGAAGAAGCCACCAAUCCUAGCUGAGGACCCUCAAACUCGGGAUUUCAUGUUGAAUCGUUUCUUACCCGCUGCGAAAGCCAUGACAGUGGAGCAACCUCAAUACGCUUCGAAACGACAACUGUCUCCUGUUAUGUCUGAACCAACGAGACAGAUCAGAGACAUCGUACCGGCCAGACAGAUUAGAGAAAUAGUAUCAGCCGAGAAGUGCCGGACUCCUAAUAGGUACGAGUCUAUUAUCCCACCAUACUAUCACGAGCAAGUGGAAGAUGCUGAAGAAAGCGAGGAUGAGGAAGAUGAAGUUUCCGAGUUUGCUAAUUCUGCGUAUAUGUCAAAGAGAGGCUGCGGGUUCUUACCGCAGCUGUGCUUUAGGAAUUCCCUCGGCAUGCUGAAAACAGUGCCUGGUCUUAAGCCGAAACCUGACUCCCUGGUAACGUCAAGUCAUAGACAGGUCAAGGCAAGCAAGGUCUCUCAACUCAAAUCACAAUUCCAAACUGUAAAGAUUGCUCUAGAUUCAGUCUACAAACAAAAGUCUAGUGAUAGAGCUCAAUCUCCGAUGCACCCAAGUGUUGCGAAAAAGUUCAAUCGUGAAUCUGAACAACUUGGACAAAACCUGGCUACGGCUAGUAGAUCGUCGUCUCCUUACAGGCACGCUGGCUGUAUGUCACCGUACCGCAGCACUGCUAACAGUUCUCCUCUUCACCCAAUGGGUUUCCCUGGGACUCGCAAAGAGGCCGAGAAUUUGAGAGCUAACAGGUUGAACAAGCAUAUCAAAAGCAUUAGCAGGUCACAGGAAUUAAUAUAUCCGAAAAGCGCAAGACACGGCUGUUCUACAAUUUCUGUCCCGGAGAAGACUAUGUAUAUUGACACUGGAAAUUCUCCCAUUGCUAGCAAUCGGCAGAACUUGGACAUCAAGAUGUUGCCCGAACCCGAACUCGUGGAGACAGUUUCAGAGGAAGUGGACAAGACGAGCGGGAAAAAAUCAGACACGAAUCUUGAACUUGAUGCUAUUAGCAGUGGAGAAAUUGUGAAGGUGGAUGGGUUGGGAAAGAUCGAAAGAGGUGGCGAACCAUCUCCUCUAGCUCCACCCUUGCCCAAAAAGCCUUCUGAAUCAUGGCUUAUGCGUAAUCUGCCUUCAGUAAGCUCACAAAUCUCGUCACGUAGAUCUCCAUUCCGUCCCCAGAGAAUGAAUCCCGAAGAAAAAUCCAGCAGUGUUUCCAAGUGGGAAACUAUUGUCAAGACUUCCUAUGUGCACAGUGAUCAUAUACGGUAUUCUGAAGAACUGGUUGCUCAUACUCGUCGUAAAUCCAAAACUUAGUAAUCUGAACCUUCCUGAGAUGCUGACUUUCUGGGGUUUUCUCAGACGAUAUAAUCAUUUGCAGGCACGAUUCGAAGGAGAUAGGGAAUGACAAUAUCGGAAGUUAGCAUCCAAAUUUGCCGCCGAGAACCACGGAGGAAUAUCAACUACUGGACUACGCAAUCUGCAGGUUUCUAUUCCGAAUCCGACGGCAAAUACAUCUUCUCUUCAUCUUCACCUUUUGCUUCUUCAUUCAUCAGACUCUCCAGUCGUGGU